ACACUCCUGCGGGAGGCAGCAGUAGGGAAUCUUCCACAAUGGGUGCAAACCUGAUGGAGCAAUGCCGCGUGAGUGAAGAAGGUCUUCGGAUCGUAAAGCUCUGUUGUUAGAGAAGAACACGUGCUAGGUAACUACUAGCGCCUUGACGGUAUCUAACCAGAAAGUCACGGCUAACUACGUGCCAGCAGCCGCGGUAAUACGUAGGUGACAAGCGUUGUCCGGAUUUAUCGGGCGUAAAGGGAGCGCAGGCGGUCUGUUUAGUCUAAUGUGAAAGCCCACGGCUUAACCGUGGAACGGCAUUGGAAACUGACAGACUUGAAUGUAGAAGAGGAAAAUGGAAUUCCAAGUGUAGCGGUGGAAUGCGUAGAUAUUUGGAGGAACACCAGUGGCGAAGGCGAUUUUCUGGUCUAACAUUGACGCUGAGGCUCGAAAGCGUGGGGAGCGAACAGGAUUAGAAACCCUUGUAGUCCCA
rnacentral:rRNA from 1 species